rnacentral:sRNA from 1 species
ACAUAAAAGAGAAGCAAACGAAUACAAGUACU